UGCUGCAGCUUCAGGCCCGGGAGAUUAUUUCACCUUCAGCUGUGCGGCGAGGAGGGGCAUCGGGGGGCGGCAGGCGGAUCAGGGGAGCGGGCUUUAAAACGGCGCCAUGAAUGGAGGCGUGAGCUGUGGCUUCUCGGAGGAAGUGAUCAAUCUCACCAGAGGGCCAUUAGGAUUGGGCUUUAACAUCGUUGGUGGGAUGGAUCAGCCGUACAUUGCCAAUGACAGUGGCAUCUACGUCAGCCGGAUCAAAGAAGAUGGGGCUGCUGCUCUUGAUGGCCGAUUACAAGAGGGAGACAAAAUUUUAGCGGUAAACGGCAGAGACCUGAAGAAUUUGCUGCACAUGGAUGCUGUGGAACUGUUCAGGAAUGCAGGCUGCAAUGUUUCUCUGAAAGUUCAGCACAGGUUGCAGCCGCAGAAUGGCGCAGCUGGUCACCGAGGAGAUGGAGAACCAGGUGAUAUUCCCCUGGCUGUCAUUUUGGUGCCUGGGUUGAUCCUCGCCAUAACUGCAGUGUGGGCCUUCCUAAGAUAUCGACAGCGAAUGUGAAAUGUUCCCCUCUGAAGAGCUCUGUGCAUAUAUAUAUAUAUAUAAAUAUUACACAGCUACACUAUAAUUUAAAGAGAGAAUCAACAGUUUUAUCCUGGACUAAUGCCAGAGAGGAUUGUUGCCUCUUGUAAAGCUGCUGCUGAUGUUCAUUGUGUUCUGAUUGUCUUGGGGGUAGGGUUGAUGGAGGAAGGAGACUGUGUAAACUGGAAUGUGCCAUUUUCACUGGUCCCCUGGAAGUUUUGCCAUCCCCUUUCUCACACCAUGAACUUUCAAAUACUUAUUCUGUAUUUUAAGAUGUGACUUGGGGGGUAGAAGGGUGGAACAGACUGUGGCUGUGUUUCCAAGAACAAUUUUAUUUUGGGAAUUUCCUUGUUCUCUUUUUCAUUCCUCUUACAACCAGUGCUCCAGCUCUCUGAAUCAAGAAUACAGAGGAGUGUGUGUUGUGGGGUUUGUUUUUCUUAUUUGGGAUUGGGCAGGGAUCAGGGUGGUUAAUAAAUGCCUUAGAGAAAUGCAUACAAUCUAAUCUGGUUUCACAGAUGAAAUUCCCAGAGUAGCCACUUCCAUAAAACAAAUACGCAAUAUCAGCAAGGUGUUGUACUGGCCCUAGAAAGGCAGGAGGCAGCAUUGGGCAGCAGGAGGAGUAAGGAUGGAAAGCUCAGGAAUGAAGAACCAAAGAAUUGUAACAGGAAGCUGCAGAAAGGUCCCUGAAGUAGAGGUGAACCAACAGCACAUUUAGUCCCUGGAACUACCUAAAGCCCCGUCUUCCAGGUUGCAGAUGAAUUUCCACCCCAGCCUCCAAAAAUUAAAUACUAACUUUACCCAGAUUUAUUACAGCAGUUGAUCUGCAGGCUACAGCAUCCUGUAGCCUCAAAAGACUUUAGUGUGAGAUGAUCUGGUCUUGGUCCAUCUGAAGUUCUGACAUGGCUGCUGGGGAGUUAUGCCAAAGCAUGGGACAGAGGAAGAAGAUGCACAGUCAUGGCAGGCACUGCAAAGAGGAGAUCGUGAGGAAAAAUUUUGCCCAAGGCUCUGAAGGCAAACUUCUGUUCUUGCCAAGAGUGUCAUGGGAUUUUGGUGGCCGUAUGUGCAAAGGUAAUGGUGUGUGUCCACAGUUUCAUGGUCGUGGGCUUGAUUAUGCCUGCAAAGUAGGAAAGGGCCAUGCAGAGUGAAGUAUGGAAGGAGCGUCAAUUUUCAUCUGAUGUGAGUGAGGAGACACAACUGAGGCAUCGAAGGAGCUGAUUUGGGGGGGGAGGAGAGGAGAAGAGAGAGAGAGAGAGAGAGAGAGAGUAAUUGCACAUAACUUUUUGUAUGCUGUGUACAAGGGACUCAGGCAAAAAUUACAGUGAGUGCUGUGUGCAUUGAUCUGUAGAGCACAACAGUGUUAAAAGGAGUGAAGGAAGAAUACUUUCUUACCAGUAUAAUAAUGGUUUUUAAAAAACACGAGCAAGGAAGAAGAAUUGAAUGGAUUAGGGGGUCUCUGUGGGGGCACAGCUAGGAGCAAUAGCAAGAAACAAGGCAAAAGAAAAUCAAAGGCUGACUAUCAAGACCAACAUCUCAAUCAGAUAAUCACUUCACCUAGUGGCUGCAGUCAUUUGUGACUUCUAGGGGUACACUGCACUGUGAGAAUCUUGCUUGUGCGUACCUCUCUGCCAGCUCUCUAAUGCUCCCAGCAUGUCAGCUCCUCAAGCACGCUCCUCUGGGCUGGGCCAGCCCUUACUUUGCCUUGCAGUAAAUAGGCUUAACAGUAGGUGCGCCCAGGUCUCAGAAGUCUCUUUUGAAGCAUUCCUUUGUGAUAUACAGCCCCUGAUGCUGGCUUCACAGACGUACUAGAUUUCCUGUGUCCCAAGGAACUGUGUACACACUAGCUUGAAAGAUUCAAGUGAAAGCUAGCACUUAGCUUAACACCACAGCACCGAGUUGUAGUAAUAGUAAAACAAGUGUAUUAUCACAUUCUAGAGAUUCAGGAGCUGGUAAGGAUAAUGGAAAGAAGUGAUUGCAUGUAAAACAAAAUCUAACCCUCAUUCCAGAGAGUAAACAUAACUAACAGGUUAACUUCCCGUAUAAAGAAGUUUCUUUCCUCCAAAGUCCUGUUCAGCACUUUCAACCAAAGUUGAGAUCCCUUUUUCAUGAAAGUAAAUGCAUUGCCAAUUUACUUUAUAGGUGAAGAAUGAGAUGUCUUCUUUGUCUCUUAUGUAUAUCUCCCCUAAGUUCAUUGUACUCCAAGUCAGGAUAAUCACUCAUAGCUUAUUUUUCUUGAGUGCUUUUCUAAUGUCUGUAAAUGGGCACCCAAGGUAUUAGCCUACAGUGCUUAGUUUACAUACAGACAUAGACACACUUUUUUUUACCUCCUGUCUGGAAGAGGAACCUGUUUUUCAUCUCUAUUUUGAUUCAGACUUUAAAAUGUUAUUUUCAAUCAAUAUGAAUAAUUCCUUAC